rnacentral:rRNA from 1 species
UACGGAGGGAGCUAGCGUUGUUCGGAAUUACUGGGCGUAAAGCGCACGUAGGCGGCUCAGCAAGUCAGGGGUGAAAUCCCGGGGCUCAACCCCGGAACUGCCCUUGAAACUGCUAAGCUAGAAUCUUGGAGAGGCGAGUGGAAUUCCGAGUGUAGAGGUGAAAUUCGUAGAUAUUCGGAAGAACACCAGUGGCGAAGGCGACUCGCUGGACAAGUAUUGACGCUGAGGUGCGAAAGCGUGGGGAGCGAACAGG